rnacentral:rRNA from 1 species
UCGAGACGUGUUUUCCGUGCGGCUCUAUGGACAAGUCCCUUGGAACAGGGCAUCGUAGAGGGUGAAAAUCCCGUACUUGCCAUGGAAGUACCGUGCUUUGUGAUACACGCUCCAAGUAGUCGAGUAGUUUGGGAUUGCUGCUCAAAGUGGGUGGUAGACUCCAUCUAAAGCUAAAUAUCGGGGAGAGACCGAUAGCGAACAAGUACCGUGAGGGAAAGAUGAAAAGCACUUUGGAAAGAGAGUUAAAAGUACGUGAAAUUGUCGAAAGGGAAGCACUUGAAGUCAGCCAUGCUGCUUGAGACUCAGCCUGGCUUUUGCUUGGUGUAUUUCUCGGUAGCAAGCCAGCAUUGGUUUGUGUCGUCGGAGAAGCGUAUGGGAAGGUGUGGCAUCCUCGGAUGUGUUAUAGCCCUGUGCAG